rnacentral:rRNA from 1 species
CCCUUAGAUGUUCUGGGCCGCACACGCGCUACACUGAAGGAGGCAGCGUGUACUCCUGGAUCGAAAGAUUUGGGUAACCCGCGAAUCUCCUUCGUGCUAGGGAUUGAGGUUUGCAAUUAUCCUUCAUGAACGAGGAAUUCCCAGUAAGUGCAAGUCAUCAGCUUGCAUUGAUUACGUCCCUGCCCUUUGUACACACCGCCCGUCGCACCUACCGAUUGAAUGGUCCGGUGAAAUCUUCGGAUCUGAGAGAUGUCUGAUUAAUUUCGGACGCCUUUUGGAAAAGUUGCUUAAACCUUACCAUUUAGAGGAAGGUGAAGUCGUANCA